rnacentral:ncRNA from 1 species
ACACAUAUAUCUGCUCCCCUUAAACCAAGACCUAUAGGGAGGAUAAAUUACGUCUUUAUAUCCGUAAGUGAGGGAUUUACGGAAAUAUGUUUCGCA